rnacentral:rRNA from 1 species
AGUGAACGCUGGCGGUAGGCCUAACACGUGCAAGUCGAACGGCAGCACAGUAAGAGCUUGCUCUUACGGGUGGCGAGUGGCGGACGGGUGGGGAAUACAUCGGAAUCUACUUUUUCGUGGGGGAUAACGUAGGGAAACUUACGCUAAUACCGCAUACGACCUACGGGUGAAAGCAGGGGAUCUUCGGACCUUGCGCGAUUGAAUGAGCCGAUGUCGGAUUAGCUAGUUGGCGGGGUAAAGGCCCACCAAGGCGACGAUCCGUAGCUGGUCUGAGAGGAUGUUCAGCCACACUGGAACUGAGACACGGUCCAGACUCCUACGGGAGGCAGCAGUGGGGAAUAUUGGACAAUGGGCGCAAGCCUGAUCCAGCCAUACCGCGUGGGUGAAGAAGGCCUUCGGGUUGUAAAGCCCUUUUGUUGGGAAAGAAAAGCAGCAGGUUAAUACCCCGCUGUUCUGACGGUACCCAAAGAAUAAGCACCGGCUAACUUCGUG